CAAUAGCGUAUAUUAAAGUUGUUGCAGUUAAAAAGCUCGUAGUUGGAUUUCUGGUUGAAGCGACCGGUCGGGCGUUGAUUCGUCUGCACUGGAGUCGGUUUUGGCCAUCCUCUAGGAAAGUGCGUCUGGUAUUAAGUUAUCGGGCGUAUGAUCCUGGUCUUUUACUGUGAAAAAAUUAGAGUGUUUAAAGCAGGUCUUCGCCUUGAAUACAUUAGCAUGGAAUAAUAAGAUAGGACUUUGGUCUAUUUUGUUGGUUUGCAGACCGAAGUAAUGAUUAAUAGGGAUAGUUGGGGGUAUUUAUAUUCCGAUGUCAGAGGUGAAAUUCUUAGAUUUUCGGAAGAUAAACUUAUGCGAAAGCAUUUACCAAGGAUGUUUUCAUUAA
rnacentral:rRNA from 1 species